AAGCGAAGCCGUGAGGUGGAGCAAACCCAAAAAAGCAGUCUCAGUUCGGAUUGAAGGCUGAAAUUCGCCUUCAUGAAGCCGGAAUUGCUAGUAAUGGCAGGUCAGCAUACUGCCGUGAAUACGUUCCCGGGCCUUGUACACACCGCCCGUCACACCAUGAGAGUUGGGAAUACCCGAAGCCUGUGAGCUAACGUUAAGAGGCAGCAGUCGAAGGUAGAAUCAAUGAUUGGGGUGAAGUCGUAACAAGGUAAC
rnacentral:rRNA from 1 species